rnacentral:rRNA from 1 species
AUUGAACGCUGGCGGCAGGCCUAACACAUGCAAGUCGAGCGAGCGGCGGACGGGUGAGUAAUGUCUGGGAAACUGCCUGCUGGAGGGGGAUAACUACUGGGGACGGUAGCUAAUACCGCAUAACAUCCGAUGUGUCCAGAUGGGAUUAGCUAGUGGGUGGGGGAAUGGCUCACCUAGGCGACGCUCCCUAGCUGGUGUGAGAGGAUGACCAGCCACACUGGAACUGAGACACGGUCCAGACUCCUACGGGAGGCAGCAGUGGGGAAUAUUGCACAAUGGGCGCAAGCCUGAUGCAGCCAUGCCGCGUGUAUGAAGAAGGCCUUCGGGUUGUAAAGUACUUUCAGCGAGGAGGCGUUACUCGCAGAAGAAGCACCGGCUAACUCCGUGCCAGCAGCCGCGGUAAUAC